CGCGGCCUAUCAGCUUGUUGGUGAGGUAAUGGCUCACCAAGGCGACGACGGGUAGCCGGCCUGAGAGGGCGACCGGCCACACUGGGACUGAGACACGGCCCAGACUCCUACGGGAGGCAGCAGUGGGGAAUAUUGCACAAUGGGCGAAAGCCUGAUGCAGCGACGCCGCGUGAGGGAUGACGGCCUUCGGGUUGUAAACCUCUUUCAGCAGGGAAGAAGCGAAAGUGACGGUACCUGCAGAAGAAGCGCCGGCUAACUACGUGCCAGCAGCCGCGGUAAUACGUAGGGCGCAAGCGUUGUCCGGAAUUAUUGGGCGUAAAGAGCUCGUAGGCGGUCUGUCGCGUCGGAUGUGAAAGCCCGGGGCUUAACCCCGGGUCUGCAUUCGAUACGGGCUAGCUAGAGUGUGGUAGGGGAGAUCGGAAUUCCUGGUGUAGCGGUGAAAUGCGCAGAUAUCAGGAGGAACACCGGUGGCGAAGGCGGAUCUCUGGGCCAUUACUGACGCUGAGGAGCGAAAGCGUGGGGAGCGAACAGGAUUAGAUACCCUGGUAGUCCACGCCGUAAACGGUGGGAACUAGGUGUUGGCGACAUUCCACGUCGUCGGUGCCGCAGCUAACGCAUUAAGUUCCCCGCCUGGGAGUACGG
rnacentral:rRNA from 1 species